GCUUAACACAUGCAAGUCGAACGAAGUGGCAAACGGGUGAGUAACACGUAAACAACCUGCCUUCAGGAUGGGGACAACAGACGGAAACGACUGCUAAUACCGAAUACCUGAAGAGGGGUUUGCGUCUGAUUAGGUAGUUGGUGAGGUAACGGCCCACCAAGCCGACGAUCAGUAGCCGGUCUGAGAGGAUGAACGGCCACACUGGAACUGAGACACGGUCCAGACUCCUACGGGAGGCAGCAGUGGGGAAUCUUUUGCUUUGGGCGAAAGCCUGACGGAGCAACGCCGCGUGAGUGAUGACGGCCUUCGGGUUGUAAAGCUCUGUGAUCGGGGACGCGGUACCCGAAUAGCAAGCCACGGCUAACUACGUGCCAGCAGCCGCGGUAAUACGUAGGUGGCAAGCGUUGUCCGGAAUUAUUGGGCGUAAAGCGCGCGCAGGCGGUUCUUAAGUCCAUCUUAAAAGUGCGGGGCUUAACCCCGUGAUGGGAUGGAAACUGAGAGCUGGAGUAUCGGAGAGGAAAGUGGAAUUCCUAGUGUAGCGGUGAAAUGCGUAGAGAUUAGGAAGAACACCGGUGGCGAA
rnacentral:rRNA from 1 species